GAGGUGUUUCUAUUCCUGUUUUACAGAUGGGGAAAAUGAAGUUCGAAGCAGGCUGUCCUGACUACAAGAUGCCGUAUUGUUUCUGAGAUGCCACCAUGGUGGUUGCCUCUUGGCUCAGUGCCAGCUCACUCCAGGAGUGGAGAUGAGUUCCCAGGUUCCACAUCACUCAACACCAUGCCACACGUCGUGUGUGCUCUGCAAAUAGCUCUUGGUGGUAGAGAACCAGACCAGCUGCAUAUACCUGCUGCUGCUACUGCUAAGUCACUUCAGUCGUGUCCGACUCUGUGUGACCCCAUAGACGUCAGCCCAUCAGGCUUUCCCGCCCCUGGGAUUCUCCAGGUAAGAACACUGGAGUAGUUUGCCACUUCCUUCUCCAAUGCAUGAAAGUGAAAAGUGAAAGUGAAGUCACUCAGUUGUGUCCGACUUCUAGCAACCCCAUGGACUGCAGCCCACCAGGCUCCAUCAUCCAUGGGAUUUUCCAGGCAAGAGUACUA
rnacentral:lncRNA from 1 species